GAUGAACGCUGGCGGCGUGCCUAAUACAUGCAAGUAGAACGCUGAAGGAGGAGCUUGCUCUUCUGGAUGAGUUGCGAACGGGUGAGUAACGCGUAGGUAACCUGCCUGGUAGCGGGGGAUAACUAUUGGAAACGAUAGCUAAUACCGCAUGACAACAGUUAUUGCAUGAUAACUGUUUAAAAGGGGCAACUGCUCCACUACCAGAUGGACCUGCGUUGUAUUAGCUAGUUGGUGAGGUAACGGCUCACCAAGGCGACGAUACAUAGCCGACCUGAGAGGGUGAUCGGCCACACUGGGACUGAGACACGGCCCAGACUCCUACGGGAGGCAGCAGUAGGGAAUCUUCGGCAAUGGACGGAAGUCUGACCGAGCAACGCCGCGUGAGUGCAGAAGGUUUUCGGAUCGGAAAGCUCUGUUGUAAGAGAAGAACGAGUGUGAGAGUGGAAAGUUCACACUGUGACGGUAUCUUACCAGAAAGGGGCGGCUAACUACGUG
rnacentral:rRNA from 1 species